rnacentral:rRNA from 1 species
AUGAGUUGCUUGAGCUGGAACUGUCGGGGGCUUGGGAACCCGGCGGCAGUUCGUGAGCUUCGCAAUAUUGUGAAGCAAGAAGGGCCCGAUCUCCUGUUUGUUAUGGAGACAAAAAUUUCUGCACAAAGAGUGGAGGGUUUUAAACUCCUGCUAGGGUUUGCAGGCUGCUUUCCAGUCAGCGGUGUUGGCCUAAGUGGGGGGAUUGGCAUGUUCUGGUCCGGGGAACUGGACGUGGAGUUGAAUAGUUACAGUUCCGGCCAUAUUGAUCAUAUGGUGUGGAAGAAAUGUGAUGGCACGAAGCAAUGA